CGGGCGAUGCUGGGGGCUUUCCGGUCGGGGCCGCAGCCGCUUCCGGAGCCGCGGGCGAGGUGCAAGCGGUCUUCUCUGUCUUCUUUAUGGCCAGUAAAAUUCUCCAGAAGAGAUUUAUGGCAGCCUCACUCCCAGUAGUUUCUGCAUUUAGUGAGAUAAGAUGGAAUCUUGCUCUCUUGCUCAGACUGGAGUACAGUGGCGUGACCUUGGCUCACUGCAACCUCACCUCUCGGGUUCAAGCGAUUCUGCCCCAGCCUCUCGAGUAGCUGGGACUACAGGUGGGAGACCUCCACAGAACCCUUCCAGCAAGCUGUCUUCUAAAGCAAACAAGAAAAGGAAAGUCUGAGCAGUUUUGAUUAGAUUUCCCAGAAGUCAAAGCAAGGAAAAAUGAAAAAGCUUCAUUUCUCACGUUCUUAAAAGAGAGCACAGAUGUUGCAUCAUCUGGUUAGAUACCCUGAGAAUAAAAUCUGGAUCCAGUGAGAGGAAAGAUUCUG
rnacentral:lncRNA from 1 species